GUUCCCAUAUGACUAUGUGCAUUUCUUUGUCAUGACAUUUAUCUCACUGAGAAAUAAAUAUUCAUGAACAUUUCCAUGUCUCCUAUUAGAUACAGAGUUGAUUGAAGGAAACACCCAGCACCAUAUGGUCCUUUGUGGAUAACUUCAAAGAACAACUCCUCAAGUAAGAAGACAGCCUCCUUGGUCACGAAAUUGAGAUGAGUGAACUCAAUUUUUCUCAUACUUUUUCCCUCAAACAUUCUCCUUCUACAAAAG
rnacentral:lncRNA from 1 species